rnacentral:rRNA from 1 species
AUGCUAAUACCGGAUAACAACAGAUGAUGCCUAUCGAACUGUUUAAAAGAUGGUUCUAGGCUAUCACUCUUGGAUGGACCUGCGGUGCAUUAGCUAGUUGGUAGGGUAACGGCCUACCAAGGCGAUGAUGCAUAGCCCGAGUUGAGAGACUGAUCGGCCACAUUGGGACUGAGACACGGCCCAAACUCCUACGGGAGGCAGCAGUAGGGAAUCUUUCCACAAUGGACGCAAGUCUGAUGGAGCAACGCCGCGUGAGUGAAGAAGGGUUUCGGCUCGUAAAGCUCUGUUGUUGGUGAAGAAGGACAGGGGGUAGUAACUGACCUUUGUUUGACGGUAAUCAAUUAGAAAGUCACGGCUAACUACGUGCCAGCAGCCGCGGUAAU